UACGAAGGGGGGCGAGCGUUGUUCGGAAUUACUGGGCGUAAAGGGCGCGCAGGCGGCUCUGAAAGUCAGAUGUGAAAGCCCCGGGCUUAACCUGGGAAUUGCAUUUGAUACUCUGGAGCUUGAGUGUGGGAGAGGAGAGUGGAAUUCCCAGUGUAGAGGUGAAAUUCGUAGAUAUUGGGAAGAACACCGGUGGCGAAGGCGGUCUGCUGGGCAGUUGCUGACACUGAGGCGCGACACGUGGGGAGCAAC
rnacentral:rRNA from 1 species